rnacentral:rRNA from 1 species
GGUUAAGCGACUAAGCGUACACGGUGGAUGCCCUGGCAGUCAGAGGCGAUGAAGGACGUGCUAAUCUGCGAUAAGCGUCGGUAAGGUGAUAUGAACCGUUAUAACCGGCGAUUUCCGAAUGGGGAAACCCAGUGUGUUUCGACACACUAUCAUUAACUGAAUCCAUAGGUUAAUGAGGCGAACCGGGGGAACUGAAACAUCUAAGUACCCCGAGGAAAAGAAAUCAACCGAGAUUCCCCCAGUAGCGGCGAGCGAACGGGGAGGAGCCCAGAGCCUGAAUCAGUGUGUGUGUUAGUGGAAGCGUCUGGAAAGGCGCGCGAUACAGGGUGACAGCCCCGUACACAAAAAUGCACAUGCUGUGAGCUCGAUGAGUAGGGCGGGACACGUGGUAUCCUGUCUGAAUAUGGGGGGACCAUCCUCCAAGGCUAAAUACUCCUGACUGACCGAUAGUGAACCAGUACCGUGAGGGAAAGGCGAAAAGAACCCCGGCGAGGGGAGUGAAAAAGAACCUGAAACCGUGUACGUACAAGCAGUGGGAGCCUCUUUUAUGG